GGCUACCCCGCGGGCUGUUGACUGCAGUGGGAUCUGGUCACUCAGAUGCGGAUAGAGGGCUAAAUGCAAGAUGGUAUGGCAUCCAGACUCUGCUCAUAAGUAUCUGCAGUGAUCCAUACCUUGAUUGUACAUCUACUCUGCAUCCUGAGGACCUGAACAUGCUAACUGGUGGCUGCAGAUUUGUCUUCUAAGGAGCAAGUGUGGUCUGUGGACAGGCAGCUUCAGCCUCACCUGGGAUUUUGUUUGCACUAGAAAGUGCCAAGCCCUACCCUAGACCUAUUAAAGCAGAACUGGCGUUUAACAAGACACCCCAGAGUCACUGAAAACUAAGCUGUGUUUUCUUAAAACCCUGCAAACUGAAGCCAGACAACUUGAACUUCAGAAGAAAAUAACAGCAACCUAUUUACGUACAUAAGCCACUUUCAUACCUGCCUACUAAUGUAUGGACUUCAGAGUAAUGUGGCUUAUAUCGAUUUUUCUAGGAUUGUUCUUUUGUUUGUUGUUGUUUUUUCUCCCUUCCUCCCUGCUAUUUUCUCUUCACAGAAUGUGAGACUUCACAACCUACUAAAAAUGAGCUUUUGGGACUUACCCAUCUAGGAAUAAACCAUCAUAGCUAUGAGAAAUCAGAUGAAGCCUGAGACCAGAGACUCAUUUUUUUGCAAAAUGCUUUCUCCGACAGAUUUUACAAAAGAAAAGUGGUGGGGGGCAGGCACAGUGGCUCACACCUGUAAUCCCAGCACUUUGGGAGGCCGAGGUGGGUGGAUUACCUGAGGUCAGGAGUUUAAGACCAACCUGACCAACAUGGUGAAACCCCGUCUCUAUGAAAAAUACAAAAAUUAGCCAGGCAUGGUGGUGGGCACCUGUAGUCCCAGCUACUCGGGAGGCUGAGACAAGAGAAUUGCUUGAACCCAAGAGGCGGAGGUUGCAGUGAGCUGAGAUCACGCCACUUCAGUCCAGCCUGGGCGAUGGAACAAGACUCCAUCUCAAAAAAAAAAAAAAAAAGGUCAGAAAUGUGAAAGGAAAAUCUCUUGGGCCCCUAAAAUCACUAAGGAAAACUCAAGCUGGAAACUGCUUAGGGCAAACCUGCCUCCCAUUCUAUUCAAAGCCACUCCUCUGCUCACUGAGAUAGAUGCAUAUCUGAUUUGCCUCCUUUGGAAAGGCUCAUCAGAAACUCUAAAGAAUGUAACCCUUUGUGUCUCACCUGUCUGUUACCUGAGUCUUCCUGCCUUUGCUUUAAGUUGCCCCGCCUUUCCAGACCAAACCAAUGUACUUCUUACAUAUAUUGAUUGAUGUCUCAUGUCUCCCUAAAUGUAUAAAACUAAGCUGUCCUCCGACCACCUUG
rnacentral:lncRNA from 1 species